CCUACGGGGGGCUGCAGUGGGGAAUAUUGGACAAUGGGGGCAACCCUGAUCCAGCCAUGCCGCGUGUGUGAAGAAGGCCCUCGGGUUGUAAAGCACUUUCAGUGAGGAAGAACGCCUGGUGGUUAAUACCCAUCAGGAAAGACAUCACUCACAGAAGAAGCACCGGCUAACUCCGUGCCAGCAGCCGCGGUAAUACGGAGGGUGCGAGCGUUAAUCGGAAUUACUGGGCGUAAAGCGCGCGUAGGUGGCUUGAUAAGCCGGUUGUGAAAGCCCCGGGCUCAACCUGGGAACGGCAUCCGGAACUGUCAAUCUAGAGUGCAGGAGAGGAAGGUAGAAUUCCCGGUGUAGCGGUGAAAUGCGUAGAGAUCGGGAGGAAUACCAGUGGCGAAGGCGGCCUUCUGGACUGACACUGACACUGAGGUGCGAAAGCGUGGGUAGCAAACAGGAUUAGAUACCCUAGUAGUC
rnacentral:rRNA from 1 species